CCCUUAGACGUUCUGGGCCGCACGCGCGCUACUCUGACACAGGCAACGAGCUUUCCUUUACCGAAAGGUAUGGGUAAUCUUUUGAAACUGUGUCGUGCUGGGGAUAGAUCCUUGCAAUUUUUGAUCUUAAACGAGGAAUUCCUAGUAAGCGCGAGUCAUCAACUCGCGUUGAUUACGUCCCUGCCCUUUGUACACACCGCCCGUCGCUACUACCGAUUGAAUGGCUUAGUGAGGCCUCAGGAUCCGCGCUUAAUGUGUGGAGAAUUUGGACAAACUACGUCAUUUAGAGGAAGUAAAAGUCGUAACA
rnacentral:rRNA from 1 species